rnacentral:lncRNA from 1 species
ACCUAGACAGAUCUCAAAAAUGGGAGACCACAUGCAAAGGAAACUACAUUUUUACAACACGUGGUUGGAGAGGUCAAAGAAAAUGUGAUGUAUUACUUUCAAUUUUAUCAUCAGCGGGACCAUCUGGGGCUAGUGGUGGGGCUCGAAGAAGGAAGAAGAAAAUAAAGAAGAGAAUCAGAUCCCCAAAGUAGAGAGACUGAAUUACAGCAAUGACCUCGACUUGCAUUUACUAGGAUGAGCUGUUGUGAGAGUAAAUAUGAAAGCUGGAAUUCAUAAUUCAUUCAACCUGUGCUUCAUCCACUUACCCCAAACCAAAACAUAACAAUCAUUGAGCAUCCACCAUUCACAUGUAACUGUGGUGGAGAGAGAGAUGAAAAAACACAAUGCCUAACUUCAAGGAGUUUACACACUACUCAGAGAGAUAAAUACCAUAGACAAAUAAUUAUACUGUACUGUAAGGCUACAUGGGCUAAACCUAUACCAAAAUCGUAAGUAUAAUAAUUAAUAACUUAUUUAAUUUUCAAAAUGAACAUUUAUUGAAACUGUUAUCUUCUCCAUUUAACAGACAAGGACAUUGAGUCUCAGUAAGGUGAGAUGACUUGCUCCAGAUCACACAGGGCUGAAGCUGAAAUUUUAAUCUAGAGUCCAGUUCCAGAAUCUGUGCUUAUAAACUGUGCUGUGCUGUAUUUGCUUUAAGAAUAUAAGGGUCAUUUCCUGCUUGAAUAAUCAAGGAAGGCAUGAUGGAAAAGUUAGGGGCAUCAUAAAACCCAAAGACAAUUGUUCUGAUCAUAUUUUUACUUCAACACUUCUACAGGAAAGAAAGCCUUCCCAUCACUAAUAGUGAGUUCUCUGGCAGCAAGCCUCAGUCAUUGCAGCAGGAAUACUGCUUAAAUAUUAUACUGGUAUGUGUGGGGUAAUUUGAAGUCUACCAUCCAUCACCAUCACCACCAAACCUAAUGUAUGAGUUGCCUAUUCCUUCCCGGGAUAGCACACUGCACUACUGAGGAUCACUGUUCUAUGGAAGUGGUUUUCAAACUUGAGCAUGCAUAAAAAGAAGAGCGAAGAGGCUUGUUAAAUACAGCUCUCUUUCAGCAGGUCUGGGGUACUUACUACUAAUGAGCAGUUUUUAGGAAGCAUCCUAGAUGAUUCCGUGUAUCCAGGUGGGCCACAGAAACAUUUGCAAAAACAUUACAUCGGAGCCAUUGUUGACUAUCCCUAAUCUGUAAGAAGCCAAUAGUCAUCGAGACCCAAUGGAGCAAUGCAGCAGAAUGGGGGAAGCCCAGGGGGCAGAGUGAGGGCAUCACCAGGUGAGGAAAGCAAGAUGGUAAGGCAGAAGGGAAUGGGGAAACCCAAACAAUGAAGAAAUAGAUAUCAUCUAUAUAUCUAUAUCUUUCAAUUUAUCUAUAUAUCCGAUUACCAACUUCAUCAGGAAAACCUAUUUCAGUUUGGUGAAUGGAAAGGGAACCAGCCAAAAAAUAGUUAUUAUUUUCAUACAUCUUAGUAUUUUAUUUUCCUAAGGACUAUCCUCAUGAAAUAUAUACAUAUAUUAUACAUUUACACAUAUGCAUAUACAUAUUUGAGAAUACACACACUUUGGCUUUUUAGGCCAUCUUAGCUUUAUUUUAAAUAUAAAGAAACUGGUGCUGAUUCUGCAUAUCAUAUAUAUUUGACUAUACUUCUAUAAAGCAGAAGUCAAGAGCCAUGAUUAUUGUGCAACAGUAUCUGCACAAUUAGAAUAUUAGCAAUAGCGCAGUUUUACUUUUGUUUUACAGUUUUCGAACUAUAAAUCAAGUAUGAAUGGCUGAUGGAAAGCCGAGGCUAGCAAAUAGAUGAUAAACCAUGUUACCAUGGGAGGUACAGAUUCAUUUUUAAUUUUAGUUUCUAUGUUAUCCCCAAGCAGCUUUUUUGUAUAUUGAUACGGAAAAUAAUGCCAUCUAUAUGCUGCACAACAGAAGUGUUGAUAUGUUUCUGUACCCCUUGGCUUGCAUCCCUGUUGUCAUCACCCAGCUGAUAUCAUUGUGACAUUUUGACAUUGCCUUGUGACACAGUGACCUGGUGCCUCCAGGAGCCUAGAAGGACAAGUUGACUAAGGCACAUGGUGCAUUAGGAAGCAAUGAAGCAAUUCAUUACUGCUACAGAGAGAGUCUGCUCUGGAGACAAGAAUUCUUAGCUAAGGCACAAAAUACUCUCGAUUCUAUUUGCUGUUCUGCUACUGAUUUACUAUGAGAUCUGUAACAAAUAAUCUCAAUUCAUUUGUAACUUAGAUUUCCGUCUGUAAAAUGGAAAUGACCCAACAUAUAUGAUUUUUUUUAAAUCCUAGGGCAGUGAUUGCAUUUGCAACCCAUUCUUGCCAAAGAGAAAUUUGGAAGCACACUUCAAGGAACUAAGUUCAGUGAUAAUCACACUUGAUUGAUUUUCAGUACUGUCACAGUUUGAGAACUAUUUAUUGCCCUGAUUUGCUCUUUUCUCUGCCCUGUAUUAAAGAUCUUGCAUGACAGUUGAUCCAUGAAA